rnacentral:rRNA from 1 species
CAGUAGCCGCGGGAAUACGGGGGGGGCAAGUGUUAUUCGGAAUGACUGGGCGUAAAGGGCACGUAGGCGGUGAAAAGGGUGGAAAGUGAAAGUCGCCAAAACACUGGCGGGGUGCUUUCUUGACCAUUUCACUUGAGUGAGAUAGGGGAGAGUGGAAUUUCGUGUGGAGGGAUCAAAUCCUAAGAUAUACGAAGGAACGCCAACCGCGAAGGCAGCUCUCUGGGUCCCCACUGACGCUGGGGUGCGAAAGCAUGGGGAGCAAACAGGAUCAGAUACCCCGGUAGUCCCUGUCUCUUAUACC